rnacentral:misc_RNA from 1 species
UGUGGGAGCGAGCCUGCUCGCGAUUGCGGUGUGUCCGUCAGCAACAGUGUCGACUGGCGGAUUGCAAUCGCGAGCAGGCUCGCUCCCACA